UCCUCCUUAGUUCAGUCGGUAGAACGGUGGACUGUUAAUCCAUAUGUCGCUGGUUCAAGUCCAGCAGGAGGAGCCAAAU
rnacentral:tRNA from 1 species